AUGCUACUGUUUCUGAAGAAGGCCUGCAUGUGCCCAUUCUUCAUCUUCAAAGGUAUUCUCCCGAUUCAACAUGGUAUCGAGCCAGGUUGCGGCGGCGGCGGUGUAGUCGCUCGCCGGCGAGGCGGUGGGGCCCGGUGGGGUCAGGCGGGAGGAGCCUGCUCGCGCUGCUGUGGCAGGGUAGUUGCUCGCGCGGCUGCGCAUGGGACGUGCGAGCGCGGCGGGGCUGUGUGGAGCGCACGGAGGGGCGCUGAAGCUAGUAGAGCUGGAGAGGAGAGGCGGCUGCACGGGGGACUCGCGCGGCGGAGCCUGAGAAGAAGCUGCGGGCAGGUCAAGUUUCCCUGCUGCGGGCAAGACGAGAUCCUCUACUGUUCUGCCGUGCUGCUGCUGCUGAAUUUGCCGCCGAAGCUGCUGAACUGCUGUUUCCGCUGGUUGAAGAGAAGAGGAGUGUUGUACUGGUGCUUGCUGCUGCUUGCUGUUGGUUGUGCUUCUGCUGAGGGCUGCUGCUGGGACUGGUACUAUUGGAGGCCAAGGUCCUUUGCUCGUCUGCAGCUGCUGACCUGCGGGUGCUGCUACUGCUGUGGUUGA
rnacentral:rRNA from 1 species